UGGGGAAUUUUGGACAAUGGGCGAAAGCCUGAUCCAGCAAUGCCGCGUGUGUGAAGAAGGCCUUCGGGUUGUAAAGCACUUUUGUCCGGAAAGAAAUCCUUGGCUCUAAUACAGUCGGGGGAUGACGGUACCGGAAGAAUAAGCACCGGCUAACUACGUGCCAGCAGCCGCGGUAAUACGUAGGGUGCAAGCGUUAAUCGGAAUUACUGGGCGUAAAGCGUGCGCAGGCGGUUUGCUAAGACCGAUGUGAAAUCCCCGGGCUCAACCUGGGAACUGCAUUGGUGACUGGCAGGCUAGAGUAUGGCAGAGGGGGGUAGAACUCCACGUGUAGCAGUGAAAUGCGUAGAGAUGUGGAGGAAUACCGAUGGCGAAGGCAGCCCCCUGGGCCAAUACUGACGCUCAUGCACGAAAGCGUGGGGAGCAAACAGGAUUAGAUACCCUGGUAGUCCACGCCCUAAACGAUGUCAACUAGUUGUUGGGGAUUCAUUUCCUUAGUAACGUAGCUAACGCGUGAAGUUGACCGCCUGGGGAGUACGGUCGCAAGAUUAAAACUUAAAUGAAUUGACGGGGUCAUAGCUGUUUCCU
rnacentral:rRNA from 1 species